rnacentral:lncRNA from 1 species
UGAUACCAUGUCCAUAGGGAAAUCUUUGUGAUAAGAAAUGAAAACAGCAAGAUUCAAAGAAAGCCAGGCACCUUUGUAAAGACUUGAAGGAAAUUGGGUCAUUAAAACACUCUUCAGGCUUUCAAGAGGUAUGGGGGAGACCAGAAUAGUGCAUGUGCAAUGUCUGUAUUAAGUCUUAAGAAGGCCAAUAAUCCUUUUGGUGCACAGAAGUGAAUAUCACCCACCUGGAGAAAAGUCUGCAAUACAGUCAGAGUCUGCCCUGCAGCUUCUUCACAGGGACCAGAGAACAGAAGAUUAAUGCUGCUAAUUUCAGUUAUGUGAAAACUGUGAGCUGAUAAAGGACCUGGAUGUUUUUCUAAAGCAAAUAUUAAUAGCAGAAAAAGGAAUAUUCCUAUCCUGUGGUGGAAAUAAUUGUGUCAGUAAUCUCACCAUGCUGCUUUAAAUGAGUUUGCAUCAUUUCAUGCAGUAUCAUACUGCAGACAUUUGAUCAUCUAUAACAUGAUGAUGGAAUGAUGAAAAAGAAGGCUAAAUUAAUAUCCUAGAUACAGUGACACUGGUA